AUCCCUUUCUCAGCCUUAUGGCAAAGAUCAAGUGCAGUAUUUGUUCUUAUUAGUUAAAUAUCUGAUAUAAGGCCAUCGGUUCACUCUUUAUUAAAUUAAUAAUUUUUUGAGGGGAGGGCCUACUACAGUAGCUUGCUAUUGGGGCCUCAAAUGUGUUGCCUUGUUGUUGCACUAUUGUCUUGGCUUGGCGCACCCCAA